AGAGUUUGAUCCUGGCUCAGGACGAACGCUGGCGGCGUGCCUAACACAUGCAAGUCGAACGGGGAUAGAUUGAAGGUUUACCUGAUAUCUAUUCUAGUGGCGGACGGGUGAGUAACGCGUGAGCAAUCUGCCUUGUACUGGGGGAUAACGUCGAGAAAUCGGCGCUAAUACCGCAUAAUACUAUUAGAUCGCAUGGUCAUAUAGUCAAAACUCCGGUGGUACAAGAUGAGCUCGCGUCCAAUUAGCUAGUUGGUGAGGUAAUGGCCCACCAAGGCGACGAUUGGUAGCCGAACUGAGAGGUUGAUCGGCCACAUUGGGACUGAGACACGGCCCAGACUCCUACGGGAGGCAGCAGUGGGGAAUAUUGCGCAAUGGAGGGAACUCUGACGCAGCAACGCCGCGUGAAGGAUGAAGGUUUUCGGAUUGUAAACUUCUUUGAUCGGGGACGAAAAUGACGGUACCCGAGGAACAAGCCACGGCUAACUACGUGCCAGCAGCCGCGGUAAUACGUAGGUGGCAAGCGUUGUCCGGAAUUACUGGGUGUAAAGGGCGUGUAGGCGGGAAGGCAAGUCAGAUGUGAAAGCCCAUGGCUUAACUGUGGAACUGCAUCUGAAACUGUUUUUCUUGAGUACUGGAGAGGAAAGUGGAAUUCCUAGUGUAGCGGUGAAAUGCGUAGAGAUUAGGAGGAACACCAGUGGCGAAGGCGGCUUUCUGGACAGUAACUGACGCUGAGGCGCGAAAGCGUGGGGAGCAAACAGGAAUAGAUACCCUGGUAGUCCACGCUGUAAACGAUGGAUACUAAGUGUGGGAGGUAUCCACCCCCUCCGUGCCGGAGUUAACACAAUA
rnacentral:rRNA from 1 species